AUUGAACGCUGGCGGCAGGCCUAACACAUGCAAGUCGAACGGUAACAGGAAGAAGCUUGCUUCUUUGCUGACGAGUGGCGGACGGGUGAGUAAUGUCUGGGAAACUGCCUGAUGGAGGGGGAUAACUACUGGAAACGGUAGCUAAUACCGCAUAACGUCGCAAGACCAAAAAAGGGGGACCUUCGGGCCUCUUGCCAUCGGAUGUGCCCAGAUGGGAUUAGCUAGUAGGUGGGGUAACGGCUCACCUAGGCGACGAUCCCUAGCUGGUCUGAGAGGAUGACCAGCCACACUGGAACUGAGACACGGUCCAGACUCCUACGGGAGGCAGCAGUGGGGAAUAUUGCACAAUGGGCGCAAGCCUGAUGCAGCCAUGCCGCGUGU
rnacentral:rRNA from 1 species